UGACUUAACUGACGUCAGCUGUAAGUGAUUGAGUGUGAGAGUCUGAAAGGGCUCAAGAUGCUAUAAAUAGGAAUGGGACAGCACUUAUCCCCCUCUCUACAAAAUGUUGUUGACACUGGCGGCUCUGGGCGUGAUCAUUUAUCGGUUAUUGUCAGCACGCACAAGGCGUGUGAGGGAUAGACUCCCUGAUCAGUUAAUCCUUAUCCAAGCACUUGUGUUGCAAAAUGGGCAAGAGCCGCUGAGCAGCAGCUCCUAAUGGAGUCGUAUGAGGAGCUGAAACACAUUAUAAGAAAAUAAGGAAACACCAGUACUAUAAUCAAGGGAGGGGAGGCCCACCCAGCCAGGACCUGACCACAGCAGAGGAGCUGGCACUUGAUUUGAAUAAAGAGAGGCCAGUGACGGAGGGGAUCCAGGGAGGGACUGUGACAGACUCAGUCCCUGCAACAGAAACUGGCUGCUUCAUACAAGGGGGAAGGCGCAUCUGCAGCUGUACAGUGCACAUCUGCAGAUGAGGAGACGGUGUCACUGGACUCCAGAAGGCUUGAGGACCCAGACACCUUACAGCCUCGGAAGCAUUUCUUUUACAGAAUUCACAAACUGUCAGAGCUCUAUAUGGAAAACAUCUCGAGAGACAGAUAGAGCUGGCAGAAGUAAAAAUUCAAGUGGAGAAAAGAAAGCUGCAAGAAAUGGAGCUUGAUCUUGAAAUUAAAAGAAGGACCCUU